rnacentral:lncRNA from 1 species
GUUGGGACUCACGAUAAAGGGACUGAAUCAUAUGUUAACUACACCUUGAAGUUCAUUUUUGAUUCUAUUGGGUUGCCACUACAUAUUGCUAGGUAUUACUGGUGGAUUGUGAGAGCUCACUAGGAUUGUUCUGGAUCGACAAUCUUUGAUGAGUUAGAGUGAAAUUAUUUUGAUCUAUUGAAAAGAGUUUUGAAACAUACAUGCAUGCCCCGACAUUAAAAUUUCAAUAAGGGCUAUGGUAUCCGAUAAAAUAGUGAGAGACAUAACUAGCUAAAAGAUCUCAUCUUGUUAUGCAUAUCAA